rnacentral:rRNA from 1 species
UGGGGAAUAUUGGACAAUGGACCAAGAGUCUGAUCCAGCAAUUCUGUGUGCACGAUGAAGUUUUUCGGAAUGUAAAGUGCUUUCAGUUGGGAAGAAAGAAAUGACGGUACCAACAGAAGAAGUGACGGCUAAAUACGUGCCAGCAGCCGCGGUAAUACGUAUGUCACGAGCGUUAUCCGGAUUUAUUGGGCGUAAAGCGCGUCUAGGUGGUUAUAUAAGUCUGAUGUGAAAAUGCAGGGCUCAACUCUGUAUUGCGUUGGAAACUGUAUAACUAGAGUACUGGAGAGGUAAGCGGAACUACAAGUGUAGAGGUGAAAUUCGUAGAUAUUUGUAGGAAUGCCGAUGGGGAAGCCAGCUUACUGGACAGAUACUGACGCUGAAGCGCGAAAGCGUGGGUAGCAAACAGGAUUAGAUACCCUGGUAGUCCACGCCGUAAACGAUGAUUACUAGGUGUUGGGGGUCGAACCUCAGCGCCCAAGCAAACGCGAUAAGUAAUCCGCCUGGGGAGUACGUACGCAAGUAUG